GGGGGGGGGGUGGACUCUCAAUUGGAGGCAGGUGCUUUCUCGUUGCCUCUGAUUGAGAGUCCUAUAUAUGGGUAAUUGUUUGUGGGAGAUUGUUUCUUGUUUUACCUGUGUGAGCAUUACAAGACUGUUUUGUUGUUCGUGAGGUCGUUGGUCACUUUGAUUUCAAAUAAAUAUCAAGAUGAGCAUCCACAUUCCUGCUGCGUUUUGGUCCUCCAUUCCAGACGACAACCGUGACAGAGAGACUGUUAUUGAGAAAAUAAGGUAGUUAAAGGGAAAACAGGAAUCUGCAGCUGCGGAGUACUUUAUGCUGAAAAACAUGAACGGACACACGAGGACAAAAAAAUAUAGCGUAGUUAAACAAAUAAUGAAGUGUCUUACUAUUCUCCAUGGUUGGCCCUCUUGCCUAUUCUUUUAAGGUGGAAGUAGACACAGUUAUACACCUGAGCCUGCUUACUGCACAACACAAUCCAUCAAUCAAAUUGAGACAUGAGUGUGUAGGUAAUAGGGUGUCUAAUUAUAGGAGGUGAAAAUCUCUCGCACAUGGAUUGCCUCUUGUUGCAUUGUUGGACACCAUCCUUGAAACAUCCUGCAGAGCAGCAGACUUCUCCUCUGGCACACUGCGGCGAGCUGCAGAUCCCCCCUGGUUCUCGUGUCCAUCCACAUGAAGUUAUGCAGGACACAGGUAGCCUUCACACACCUGAAUUCCUCCAGGAGGAAGUCCCAGAUAGCCCUGGUCACCCAACCUUGCAGUGCCCUACACGUUAACUGUAGGCAAUAAUUUUGAAGUAAUCUCCAGUUACAAGGUAUCUCUUGAUGAGGAGUUGACCAUUUGAAUCAGCUGUGCAGUGCUAAGACAAAAACAAAAAUGUGCACCCCUUUGAGUCCCCAGGACUGAGAACCACUCUGUUCAUAUGUAGACAAGCUUUCAUAGCUCUCUUUAUCUGAGUACAGAAAGCCACACAAGAAACAGACUUCAUUAUAGUCAAAUUACACCUCACUGAAUAUUAU
rnacentral:lncRNA from 1 species